CAUGUUCGUACAUACGAAUACGAUAGUUCGAAAAAAAUCGUAAAUUUCAUUACGUCGUUAUAUUAUCAUGUAGUAUCGAUCGUACCGUUUAGAACCCCGGUCUCUCUCUUUUCUUUCUAAUAUCCAUCCUUCAUUCGAUUCUUCUUCAAAGAAUCCCACCAAUCCCAAAGUUCUGUCUUACGAAGCAGGCGCUGUAAUGAUCGAUCGGCGGAGGCGGCGGCGGUUUUACUUUCCUUUAGCGGCCAAUUCCGACAAUUGGCCACGUACACAUUAGUAUGCUCAACAACACAGCUGAAGUCAGGAUAUUGUAAACAUUCUGUCACUAAAAGAGGAAAGGAUUUAUGAGAAAGAAAAAAGGAACAAACAAAAGAAAAGAAAAGAAAAGAAAAGAAAAGAAAAGAAGAAACAAAAAAGAAAAGAAAAAAAAGAAAAAAGAAACGCAUUUAUAUAUAAAAGAAGAAAAGUUUAUAAUAUAAAAAUAUAAAAACAUGCUUACAGUCAAUACCAGGCCAAAAGAAUUGAUUACAGAGACUGUUGAUCGCUGGAAUAUGUUGUGGUCUAAUAUAAGAAUAAUCAAUUGGUGCUCUUGUCAAUGGUUUCCAAGAUGAAUUAUUUUUAUUAACUUUAGCACAAAGUUCUUCCAUCACAGUUAACCAUAAUGGUCGACUAGAGGUAUCUCUUCUUAUAAAUGGCUUUAAAAGUCUAUUUGUAUAUGGACUAACGACAGAUGUUGCUUCAUUAUACCCUUGUAAUCUUUGUUCAAAAACAUAUCCUAUGUCAUCUCCAAAAAAUCUAUCUAGGACUCUAUCGCAUUCCUUGAAAUGUCUCUUAGAUACUUCUUUAGAUCCAAAAUGAUCUAUAUCUAACAAAGAAGGAAAAGCAGAAUACAGAUGGCGUUUAUUAACCCUUUGUAAGAGAUAUGCUUCUUCUUGAUGCGUCAUAAUAGGUAUCUUCUCAUCUAACGAAUAAUAUUAAUCGAGCAAUGUAAAACAAUUUCUAAAAUAACAAUAUUGAAGGAUGUUCUAGCUAUUUGAAGCAUAUUAAUAAUAAUAAGUUACGAAAAUAUUAAUAAAAUUCUCAAAAAUUAUUCAUAUAGUAAUUAAAUAUCAUCUGUCACUUACUGUUAACGAUCGAUCUUUGCCAAGGCCAUUUAUCUCGUUUUGUAGCUUGAAAUAAAGAAGCUGGAGGUGGUUGCUCUUGAGCAAUACUAUCGUUACUUUCUUCUGCAUAUUGAUCUUCUUCUCUUUUAAUUUUAUUAUCAGUGAUAUCAUUUAUUGACUCUUCUGUUAUCUCUGUAUUGUUAGACCAUUCAGAUGUAAAAUUAUCAAACAGUCGAGGAAAAUUAAAAUUAGAAUUUUGAUAUUGACAAUCUGCCAAUAGUUCUGACAAAGAAAGAGUGUCCUGGUGAUCACGUAGGAUUAAAUCAUCUUCCAUAUCCAUAUCUAAAAUAUUUAAAGGUUAUAUAAUUUCAUUUUAUUUAUUUUUCUUAAAUUCCUAUUUACCAUUUAAUUCAUCUUCCUCCAAUAAGAGGUCAGACAAUGUUUCCGUUGGUUGUACAUAAGCUUGCGAAUACAUUGAUGGCCCUUGAUUUUUUACUGCUUCUGUUCCGUAAUUGCUAUCUUCUCCAACUGAAAUACUUGAUUCGGACGGCGUCGGACUAAUGUAUGAUUUAACCGAUGACUUUUGUUGAUUACCAUUUUGUUUUUUACGAUCCAUUAUCAUCUUUCCGUCUGUUACAAAAUAAAUACAAUAUAAUAAACUAUAAACAUUACAAUUUAAUAUGUAUAUUAACAAAAGUAAAAUGUAAAAUCAUCUAUCAGAAUGUUCUAUCUGUUCGGCGGACAAUUAAUUUACUUAAAAACAGGCAGAACUUUUUGGUAGAUCUAAUAUAUAAUUUAUCAAUGAUCAAUAAUACUUUUAGCAAUCAGAACUUCUGGCGGAUCAUUAUCUAUUAGUCUCCACCAACCAGAUUCUCCUAAUUCAACUGUUCCUGAUUUAAAAAAGAUCCCACUAUAAUGUGACAGUGUUCCAGAAAUUGUACCAAUCCAAUUCUUUUUUCUUUUGCUAAAUAAAUCAGAUUAGCUACGAUAAAUAAAUAAAUUUUAUAAAGUAAAUAAGUUAGAUUAGAUGUGACAGUUAAACUAAUUAUCAUAGGUUGGCUAGAAUUAAAAGUAAAUUAAGUUACCUACACAGUUUUCUUAAAUAAAUGAUCCCAAUUACGAUCUACAAAAGUACUAAUGUCUGACUUCCAAUGGAAAUAUCCCCUUUUACUUAUUCCACUGGAUUUUUCUCUUAAGUUGUACAAAGUUAAUACAAUUACAUUAAGCCAUGGCAUUCGAUCUCUUAUGACUGUUUCCUCGCCUAACGGACUGCAGUCAGUGCAAUGUAAUUCAAAGAAGACAUCUCCGACAAAAGAUACUGGAACGCUUCCUCUUUGAAGGCACUCGAUAUGAAUUUUUCCAGCGCAAUCACCAUUGCAACGUAAAGCUGGUUUAGCGUACGGAUUACACUGAUUACCACACUUUUUACAAAGAUCCAUAUCCGGUGCAAUUUCGUUAACAUUAUCGUCCUGUUUCUCAUUAAUCCCUUCUUCUUCCGUUACUGUCGCCAUUCUAUUCAAAAUGAAUAUUCCAAUAUAAUUGAUUAUUUUUUAGGUUAUACUUUUAAAGAGAAAAGUUACAAAGUUACUCACGUGGAUAUCAUUUAUAUAAAAAGUGAAAAUAACGAAAGAAAUUUAUAUUUAUAAUGAUAAUUUAUUCAUAUUAAAUUCGAAAAGAUUGUCACGAGUAAUAUACACUGGCACGAACGUAAAUACAAUUCUCAAUUUGCCAUAACCACGUGUGCACGAGUAUCGCAUGUAAGAAGCCAUUUUCUUCUUCUACAUACAUUUCAAAUUAAUGAUUGCUAAAUACACAUGUUAGCAAAAUGUUUAUUAUAUAUAAUGGAUAAAUAUUAAAAUGCAAAAUAAUGUGCAAUAUGACUGGUAUUAUCGAUAAUGCUAUGCAAUAUCCGUAAUGUCAUAUAUAUGUGUGUGUGUAUGUGUGUAUAU